AUGGCGCCGGACACCAAGGAGCGGUGGAAGAAGGAGGUCGGCUGGUUGCUGUCCGUCACGGACCACAUCGUCGAGUUUGUCCCGACAAGACAGACCGCCGAGAACGGUACUACCAUGGAGAUCAUGUCGACAGCGCAGCGUCGCGACCUGCAGAUAAACAUCCCCGCUCUGCGCAAGCUGGACGCCAUGCUCAUUGUAAGCGCUAUUACCUUAUUAGAUUUAGCUAGGCAUCUUCAACGGCAACCUGCAAAAAACCUCCCUCAUUCAUCUAUAGACAGGGAAGGGGAGCCUUGGCGCAGUGGUAAAGCUGCUGCCUUGUGA
rnacentral:rRNA from 1 species